GCGGGCGUGGUGAAAUGGUAGACACGCUGGUUUUAGGAACCAGUGCCGUUAAAAGCUUGGAGGUUCAAGUCCUCUCGCCCGCA
rnacentral:tRNA from 1 species